UACGUAGGGGGCUAGCGUUGUCCGGAAUCAUUGGGCGUAAAGCGCGUGUAGGCGGUCCGGUAAGUCCGCUGUGAAAGUCGGGGGCUCAACCCUCGAAAGCCGGUGGAUACUGUUGGGCUAGAGUGCGGAAGAGGCGAGUGGAAUUCCUGGUGUAGCGGUGAAAUGCGCAGAUAUCAGGAGGAACACCAAUUGCGAAGGCAGCUCGCUGGGACGUAACUGACGCUGAGACGCGAAAGCGUGGGGAGCAAACAGGAUUAGAAACCCUAGUAGU
rnacentral:rRNA from 1 species